UAGGAAAUAGUGUAGUGGAAGCACUAGGAGUUUUGCUCUCCUUAGGCGGGGUUCGAGUCCCCCUUUUCUAAAA
rnacentral:tRNA from 1 species